AGUGAACGCUGGCGGUAGGCCUAACACGUGCAAGUCGAACGGCAGCACAGUAAGAGCUUGCUCUUACGGGUGGCGAGUGGCGGACGGGUGGGGAAUACAUCGGAAUCUACUUUUUCGUGGGGGAUAACGUAGGGAAACUUACGCUAAUACCGCAUACGACCUACGGGUGAAAGCAGGGGAUCUUCGGACCUUGCGCGAUUGAAUGAGCCGAUGUCGGAUUAGCUAGUUGGCGGGGUAAAGGCCCACCAAGGCGACGAUCCGUAGCUGGUCUGAGGGGAUGAUCAGCCACACUGGAACUGAGACACGGUCCAGACUCCUACGGGAGGCAGCAGUGGGGAAUAUUGGACAAUGGGCGCAAGCCUGAUCCAGCCAUACCGCGUGGGUGAAGAAGGCCUUCGGGUUGUAAAGCCCUUUUGUUGGGAAAGAAAAGCAGCAGGUUAAUACCCCGCUGUUCUGACGGUACCCAAAGAAUAAGCACCGGCUAACUUCGUG
rnacentral:rRNA from 1 species